rnacentral:rRNA from 1 species
CUAAGAGCUAAUGGAGAAUGCCUUGGUACUGACAGCCGACGAAGGACGUGUAAAGCUGCGAUAAGCUACGGGGAGUUGCUAAAAGACCUUGAUCCGUAGAAAUCCGAAUGGGGAAACCCUGCAAGGUUAAAACCUUGUAAUCCACAUAUGAAUACAUAGUAUGUGCGAAGGAAAGCCUGUGAACUGAAACAUCUUAGUAACAGGACGAAAAGAAAAUAAAUCAAUGAUUCCGAAAGUAGCGGCGAGCGAAAUUGGAAGAGCCUAAACAGUAUGUACGUGAUAGACUGCAAUCGUUGUGCAUAUUGAGUUGUGGGACUUACGGUAUAAUUUGCAGAUUAUACAAAGAGUUACAAAAUUAUUUAUUAGCUAAAUCCAACUGGGAAGUUGAGCCAUAGCGGGUGAUAGCCCCUUAAGCGACAAUAAAUAAUCUCUUGUAAGUAUCCCGAGUAAGGCGGGGCACGUGAAACCCUGUCUGAAUCCACCGGGACCAUCCGGUAAGGCUAAAUACUAGUCAGUGACCGAUAGUGAACGAGUACAGUGAUGGAAAGGCGAAAAGAACAGUGAGAAGCUGAGUGAAAUAGACCCUGAAACCGUUAGCUUACAAUCAGUUAGAGCCCUAUAAAUAGGGUGAUAGCGUGCCUGUUGAAGAAUGAGCCGGCGAGUUAUUUUAUGUUGCAAGGUUAAGGAGUUAACAUCCGGAGCCCCAGCGAAAGCGAGUUUGAAAAGAGCGUUAAGUAACAUGAAAUAGACCCGAACCUUGGUGAUCUAACCUUGACCAGGAUGAAGCGUGGGUAACACUACGUGGAGGUCCGAACCGACUGAUGUUGAAAAAUCAGCGGAUGAGUUGAGGUUAGGGGUGAAAUGCCAAUCGAACCAAGAGCUAGCUGGUUCUCCCCGAAAUGCGUUUAGGCACAGCGUCAGAAUUAUCUUACAGGAGGUAGAGCACUGGUUUUGUGCGGGCGGCGAAAUGCUGUACCAAACAAUGUCAAACUCCGAAUGCCUGUAAAGUUACUAUCUGGCAGUGAGGCUACGAGUGAUAAGAUCCGUGGCCAAGAGGGAAACAGCCCAGAACGCCAGUUAAGGUCCCUAAUAUAUGCUAAGUGGUUAAGGAGGUAGAGUUGCAUUGACAACCAGGAGGUUGGCUUAGAAGCAGCCAUCCCUUGAAAGAGUGCGUAAUAGCUCACUGGUCAAGCGACUCCGCGCCGAAAAUACACCGGGACUCAAGCAUAUAACCGAAGCUGCGUCAUUUGAGUUUACUCAGAUGGGUAGGGGAGCGUUCUGUUGUAGGACGAAGUAAGAUCGAAAGGACUUAUGGACGAAGCAGAAGUGAGAAUGUCGGCAUAAGUAGCGAAAACAUUGGUGAGAAUCCAAUGCACCGUAAACCUAAGGUUUCCCCUGGCAGGCUCGUCCGCAGGGGGUUAGUCGGAACCUAAGAUGAGGCCGAAAGGCGUAGUCGAUGGACAUCAGGUUGAUAUUCCUGAACUAUCUGGUAAUCGUUAUCAGAUGCGGAGGGACGCAGGAGGAUAGGCACGCAGCCGACUGGAAGAGGCUGUUUAAGCGUGUAGCUAGUUUGAGUAGGAAAAUCCGCUCAGGCGUUAUGACGUGAGGCGUAAUGAGGAGAGUCUACGGACUCGAAGGUGUUGACUCCACACUGCCAAGAAAAACUUCGCACUCGAGAUUAUCCGGUAUCCGUACCGUAAACCGCCACAGGUAGGUUAGUAGAACAUACUAAGGUGCGCGAGACAACUCUCGCUAAGGAACUCGGCAAAAUCACCUCGUAACUUCGGGAGAAGAGGUACCCUGGUAGAGUGAAGCGAUUUACUCGUGGAGCUUGAUAGGGUCGCAGUGAAUUGGCCCAUGCGACUGUUUACCAAAAACACAGGUCUCUGCUAAGUCGAACAAGACGAUGUAUAGGGGCUGACGCCUGCCCGGUGUCGGAAGGUUACGUGGAAGGGUUAGUAGUAAUACGAAGCUCUGAAACUAAGCCCCGAUGAACGGCGGCCGUAACUAUAACGGUCCUAAGGUAGCGAAAUUCCUUGUCAGGUA